UCACCCCUGGAAAGGGAACUCCCUGACCCCUUGUGCUUCCUGAGUGAGGCAAUGCCUCGCCCCUGCUUCGGCUGGCGCACGGUGCACUCACCCACUGACCUGCGCCCACUGUCUGGCACUCCCUAGUGAGAUGAACACGGUACCUCAGAUGGAAAUGCAGAAAUCACCCGUCUUCUGAGUCGCUCGUGCUGGGAGCUGUAGACCGGAGCUAUUCCUAUUCGGCCAUCUUGGCUCCUCCACCUAUUGAAUACCUUUUAUACAGCAGGACUUCUGCACACAUAUCUCAUUUGUUCCAGUGACAACAGGUAGAAGAUUUUAAGACUGCAGAGUUCUGGAGCCUGACUGCAUGGGUGAAAUCCUAAAUCCACCAUGUGGUGAGUGUGUGAUCUUGAGGAAGUUACUUAAACUCUCUCCACCCUCAGUGUCUAUAUUGGGUUGGUUGAAGCAGGACAAGGAAGAGCAGUUACAAGGUAGUAAGAGAUAUUGCAAGAAAGCCAAUGUCUCAGGACAAAAGGUAAUAAGCAAAAACCAGGA